UGCAUGGCUGUCGUCAGCUCGUGUCGUGAGAUGGUUGGGUUAAGUCCCGCAACGAGCGCCAACCCUAUCUUAGUUGCCAUCAUUGAGUUGGGCACUCUAAAGAGACUGCCGGUGUCAAACCGGAGGAAGGUGGGGAUGACGUCAAGUCCUCAUGGCCUUUAUGACCAGGGCUACACACGUACUACAAUGGCCGGUACAAAGGGCAGCGACACAGCGAUGUGAAGCCAAUCCCGAAAAGCCGGUCUCAGUCCGGAUUGGAGUCUGCAACUCGACUCCAUGAAGUUGGAAUCGCUAGUAAUCGCGGAUCAGCACGCCGCGGUCGAAUACGUUCCCGGGCCUU
rnacentral:rRNA from 1 species